CUAACAAUAACAACUACAUCUUAUAAAAUCACCAGAUCCCACUCACAGUUCACCAUGAUAGAAAUUAGGCCAUGUCUGCUUAAGGGUCUGCUCAGUACACAGCCAAGAAGGAACAGAGAGGAAUGGAGAUAGGGGGAAGUGGUUACCUCUUUCCUGACUUGUAAAGGUAUUGAAUUACUGGUCACCAUAUUAGUUUGAUGACAGAAUGUCACCACAACCGGCACCUUCACAGAGGCCCCAACAUCCCAGCAAUACCAACAAACACACACAACCCAGAAUUACUGUACAUAGUUACGUCCGGACCUCUACACUACCCGGACAGGGACAACCCACGCCCCCAGCCACCUCUGGCAGGGUGUAAGACCAGAGUUUUAAUUUCUGUGUGUUUUUGUUUAUGUUUGUUUAUGUUUAUGUUUAUCUUUCAAUUGCUAACGGUGUAAUUUCCUUUCGCAGUAAAGGUUCUCUACAAAACGUCUCCACGGACAAGGCCACACCACAAACCGAUACUGCUUCUGCCCACUGCUCGGGUGAGGGGGAUCCACCCACGGAAAGUGGGAAACAGAUCACGCAACAAAGUAGGUGCUCAAACAAACACACCACUACACCCCUAGUGUCACACCCUACACAUGGCCCUGAAAAUUGCCUC